rnacentral:sRNA from 1 species
CGAUGUGUAACGACGCGAUGUUUGAUGC